rnacentral:rRNA from 1 species
UACGAAGGGGGCUAGCGUUGCUCGGAAUGACUGGGCGUAAAGGGCGCGUAGGCGGUGAGAUGCGUCUGUUGUGAAAUCGCCCGGCUCAACUGGGCGGGGUCAGCGGAUACGGCGCGGCUGGAGCAAGCUAGGGGGCAAUGGAACUCCCGGUGUAGUGGUGGAAUGCGUAGAUAUCGGGAAGAACACCGGUGGCGAAGGCGGUUGCCUGGAGCUUUGCUGACGCUGAGGCGCGAAAGCGUGGGGAGCGAUCCGG